UACGGGGGGGGCAAGCGUUGUUCGGAAUUACUGGGCGUAAAGGGUUCGUAGGUGGCUUGCUAAGUCAGACGUGAAAUCCCUCGGCUUAACCGGGGAACUGCGUCCGAUACUGGUUGGCUUGAGUUUGGGAGAGGGAUGCGGAAUUCCAGGUGUAGCGGUGAAAUGCGUAGAUAUCUGGAGGAACACCGGUGGCGAAGGCGGCAUCCUGGACCAAUACUGACGCUGAGGAGCGAAAGCCAGGGGAGCAAACGGG
rnacentral:rRNA from 1 species